CUUUCCCUUGUUUUGUAAAUUUUACCCCUUUUCCCUUCGCUUUCCUCUGCUCUUUCUUCCCUUUCUUCGAUCUUCUCUCCAAAAAAAAAAAAUGAAGAAGAGAAGACAGUCUUGUAACUGUAGAAUAAAGACAAAAAAAAAGAAA
rnacentral:ribozyme from 1 species